AUUGAACGCUGGCGGCAUGCCUUACACAUGCAAGUCGAACGGCAGCGGGCCUUCGGGUGCCGGCGAGUGGCGAACGGGUGAGUAAUGCAUCGGAACGUGCCAUUGAGUGGGGGAUAACGUAGCGAAAGUUACGCUAAUACCGCAUAUUCUGUGAGCAGGAAAGCAGGGGAUCGCAAGACCUUGCGCUCUGGGAGCGGCCGAUGUCGGAUUAGCUAGUUGGUGGGGUAAAAGGCCUACCAAGGCGACGAUCCGUAGCGGGUCUGAGAGGAUGAUCCGCCACACUGGGACUGAGACACGGCCCAGACUCCUACGGGAGGCAGCAGUGGGGAAUUUUGGACAAUGGGCGCAAGCCUGAUCCAGCCAUGCCGCGUG
rnacentral:rRNA from 1 species